rnacentral:rRNA from 1 species
GAUGAACGCUGGCGGCGUGCCUAAUACAUGCAAGUCGAGCGAACGGACGAGAAGCUUGCUUCUCUGAUGUUAGCGGCGGACGGGUAAGUAACACGUGGAUAACCUACCUAUAAGACUGGGAUAACUUCGGGAAACCGGAGCUAAUACCGGAUAAUAUUUUGAACCGCAUGGUUCAAAAGUGAAAGACGGUCUUGCUGUCACUUAUAGAUGGAUCCGCGCUGCAUUAGCUAGUUGGUAAGGUAACGGCUUACCAAGGCAACGAUGCAUAGCCGACCUGAGAGGGUGAUCGGCCACACUGGAACUGAGACACGGUCCAGACUCCUACGGGAGGCAGCAGUAGGGAAUCUUCCGCAAUGGGCGAAAGCCUGACGGAGCAACGCCGCGUGAGUGAUGAAGAUCUUCGGAUCGUAAAACUCUGUUAUUAGGGAAGAACAUAUGUGUAAGUAACUGUGCACAUCCUGACGGUACCUAAUCAGAAAGCCACGGCUAACUACGUG